rnacentral:pre_miRNA from 7 species
GUGAGAUACACUACUAGGGCCUUCCUGAUGCCCUUCAUUCCACCGGAAUCUGUCAGUGCAGAAACCAGAUUUCAGUGAAAUGAAGCCCAUCAGAGAGGCAGCUCAGCCUCUGGUCUCAU